CCUACGGGAGGCAGCAGUGAGGAAUAUUGGUCAAUGGGCUUACGCCUGAACCAGCCAAGUCGCGUGAGGGAAGACUGCCCUAUGGGUUGUAAACCUCUUUUGUCAGGGAGCAACGCCGGCUACGUGUAGCCGGACUGAGAGUACCUGAAGAAAAAGCAUCGGCUAACUCCGUGCCAGCAGCCGCGGUAAUACGGAGGAUGCGAGCGUUAUCCGGAUUUAUUGGGUUUAAAGGGUGCGUAGGCGGAAUGCAAAGUCAGCGGGAAAAUCGCGGGGCUCAACCUCGCUCCGCCGUUGAAACUGGCGUUCUUGAGUGGGCGGGAAGUAUGCGGAAUGCGUGGUGUAGCGGUGAAAUGCAUAGAUAUCACGCAGAACUCCGAUUGCGAAGGCAGCAUACCGGCGCCCAACUGACGCUGAAGCACGAAAGCGUGGGUAUCGAACAGGAUUAGAUACCCUUGUAGUC
rnacentral:rRNA from 1 species